rnacentral:rRNA from 1 species
UCUGCAACUCGAGUGCAUGAAGGCGGAAUCGCUAGUAAUCGUGGAUCAGCAUGCCACGGUGAAUACGUUCCCGGGCCUUGUACACACCGCCCGUCACACCAUGGGAGUUGGUCUUACCCGACGGCGCUGCGCCAACCGCAAGGAGGCAGGCGACCACGGUAGGGUCAGCGACUGGGGGUGAAGUCGUAACAAGGUAAC